AAACAAGUUAGGAUUUUUUUAUCCCCACUAGUCACCUUUGAAGGCUGUUCCAGUACGUCACUCCUCUGAUGGUUAUAAAUCUUCAUCUAAUUUCAAGCCUAAAUUUGCUGAUGGCCAGUUUAUGUCCAUUUGUUCUUGUGUUUGCAUUGUUCCUGACCUUAAA